rnacentral:ncRNA from 1 species
UUCUUCCUUGUCUUGGGGAGCAUAAUGCCCAGUGAACGUGUAGUGAGGGCAUUGAUGCUGACAAACCCAUUUUAUAGAAAGGACCUCGUCGUCCUUUUCUUCAACCCCCGUCCGCCGGUUCGCUUUCAAACAGCUGAUCCUGGUGGUCGGAAUUUUUGAAGCG